rnacentral:rRNA from 1 species
CCUACGGGAGGCAGCAGUGGGGGAUAUUGGACAAUGGGCGGAACCCUGAUCCAGCGACGCCGCGUGAGGGAAGAAGGAUCUCGGGAUGUAAACCUCUAUCAACAGGGAAGAACAAAUGACGGUACCUGAGUAAUAAGCCCCGGCUAACUACGUGCCAGCAGCCGCGGUAAUACGUAGGGGGCAAGCGUUAUCCGGAUUUACUGGGUGUAACGGGCGGGUAGACGGUGAGGUAAGUCGGGAGUGAAAGCCGGGGGCCCAACCCGCGAACUGCUGUGGAAACUAUUUUACUGGAGUGCAGGAGAGGUGAGCGGAAUUCCUAGUGUAGCGGUGAAAUGCGUAGAUAUUAGGAAGAACACCAGUGGCGAAGGCGGAUGACUGGACUGUAACUGACGUUGAGGCGCGAAAGCGUGGGGAGCAAACAGGAUUAGAUACCCUGGUAGUC